GCGAAAACUUUACAAUGCUGGCAACAGCGGUAAGGGAACCUCGAGUGCCAGGUUACAAAUCUGGCUGUCGAGAUGCCUAAAAAGCAUUUCAUAGCAAGGGCCGGGCAAGACCGGUGCCAGCCGCCGCGGUAACACCGGCGGCUCGAGUGGUAACCGUUAUUAUUGGGUCUAAAGGGUCUGUAGCCGGCCGGAUAAGUCUCUUGAGAAAUCUGGCAGCUUAACUGUCAGGCUUUCAGGAGAUACUGUCUGGCUCGAGGCCGGGAGAGGUGAGAGGUACUUCAGGGGUAGGGGGGAAACCUUGUAAGCCUUGAGGGACCACCAGUGGCGAAGGCGUCUCACCAGGACGGACCUGACGGCAAGGGAGGAAAGCUAGGGGCACGAACC
rnacentral:rRNA from 1 species